rnacentral:lncRNA from 1 species
GUAUUUUUGCUAUCUGAAAGUUUUGGUUUUGUUUUUGUUUGUUUUAGCAUUUGUUCCUGUUUUGAGGGUUCACAUAUGUUUCUGAGGAUGUUAAAUAGGUAUUUUGUUUCUUUUUAAAGUUUUCUGCUCCCUACAUUGUCUCUGUUUCUUCCAGGUUCUUCGUGUUUCCGGUUUUGGUGGUGUCUUUCGUGUUAGAGGAGUGCUUAAAAGCGGAGAACCUUUGCCAGCUGUGGUCAGAGGGAGUCGUGACUGUGGAAGAAAGGCACAGAGAGACUCAACGCUGCUGGCUUUGAAGAUGGAGGAAGAGGGCCCUGAGCCAAGGAAUGCAAUGGGCCUGUAGAAGCUGGAAAAGCUCUUCAGAACCUGAAAGGCAGCAUAGCUCCUGGGACUGUGUGUGUGUUAUACAGCGGCUAAGGAGGAAGAUGAUUUGUUUCGGGCUGUGCAAAAGUUCUGGGCUCCACACCCCUGAUUUACUCUCUCUAAGGGCCAGCAAACAAACUUUAGCCAAGUGCUUUGGAGCCACCCUGCUUUGAAGAGGCUUGUUCCACCCAGGUGGCCUUAGUGCCCAAUGGCCAACCCUGCCCACUGUGUGGAAACAAUAGAUCACUGCCUUAGCUGGCACUGUGCUGGUAUGUGGGUGCGGUCAGGAAGCUCUGGGCCAAACUGUGCAGACAUGUUGUCUCAGGAUUAACAUUUUCUAAAGCCAGAGAAGAGGUGAGGGUUCAGUAGGCACAUAACUCUUCUUCUGGGAGGUGAGAGGGGUCUGUAUGUGGACAGGGAGCUUGUUCAUCAGAAGUCACAUGAGAAAGUCAAAGAAAAGGAGGGAAGAAGGAUGGCGAUGCUUCUAUUGCUCCUACAAAUCCUGCCUCCAUGGAAGAAAAAGUUGUCCACACAGUUAUGGCCCCGUCCCAAUCUGUAUCAACCCUGAACAUGUUGGACACCACCCACGAUGGUUUGGGCAGAGAUGGUGCAGGCCUGGCAGAGAUUGAGUAG